rnacentral:lncRNA from 1 species
GGGCAACCAUAAUCCUAUCUGCUUCCCAUUAUCCCCUCACACGCUCUCUCUGUCUCAAUUUUUGCUCGUGCCUAAGCUAUGGUCGCCAUCGCCACGUCGAUCCUAUGGCCACCGCCCUCCCCUUGUUGCGCCAAGAUGUCCAGGAGCUUUGCCGUUGUCGACUCCUUCGCCUGUGCGCAUCGGUUCGAGUAGGGGUGCACUAGAAGCUCGCCAUCUAGUCAUCUUCCCCGCCACGGCUGCCACGCCUCGUCAACGAGCUCGUCGCAUCUCAGUCGCCCCGUGCCUUCUACCCAUGUCUACGAGAUUCGCGGUGAGCUCCCCGACCGAGUCCCCUCAUUUUCCCCUUCAAUCCGUGCUUUUCUACCCCGUUACUCGCCAUGGACCUAGCUCCCGAGAGCUCCCGCAUACGUGCUGCUUAUAGUUGCUGCUCUGUGCUCCUGCGUGCCUGGUGCUCCUUGCGCUGAUGUGUGUUGCCACUGCUCCGCUGCACCCUGCCGGUUACUGCCGCUAGCUACUUGCUGCUGCUUGUUGCUUCUCCUACUGAUGCAGCCCGUACCCACAGCUCCUACAGCCGGUGCUUUCUACUGUUGUUGCCUCCUGGUAGUGUGUUGUUGCUGCUGCUAUCCAUGUCGAUGCUACUGUCCCGCGCGUGCCCUGCGAGUGCGUGUCUAUGCGUGGCCUUGCUUGUUGCUCGCCCGUGCGCGUGCCCGCAAUCGCCUGCUGUCACGCUCCCCUGCUGCUCCUGCUUCUCGGCUGCACAUGCUGUUGUGCUGGCUGCCCCAUGUGUUGCUUUUCCGCUGCUACUGCCAUUGAUGUUUGUUGCCGCUGCUCAUACAGAUGUUGUCCACGUGCUACUGUGUGUGUGAGCCUCGUGUCUGUGUGCUCCGUGUGUUAGGCCGGCCACGUGUUCAAUUAGUUUCCAGUUAAUUAGUACUUCCCCAUCUUAAAAUAAGUGUCGCUGCUUUAAUAUAAAAUCAUACUAAUUUAGUACUACCUCCGUUACGGUUUAGAAGACAUAGUUAAACUUACGUGCAUUUUCAUAAUAAAUAAGGUUUAAGACACAUUGAAUUUACUCAUAGCAGCUAAUUAGUACUCCAUUAUACUACUUCUAUAUAUAUGCGUAGUGUGAAUGCUAUUUUUUAUCCCAUCUCACAGUCAAUCAAUAAUUACCUAAGUUCUAGAGAAUUUUCAAACACGUCUUCUAAACCGUGAUGGAGGGAGUAUGAAAUUUGCGUCACUUAUUUUAGGACAGAUGGAGUAGUUAGGUUAGCUACUAGCAGAUGACAUGUGGACCCCAUUAAUUAGGUUAGGGUAUAGCCUAUGAUAAGUGGGAUCCACUUUUACUAUUCACGUGUUGAUGAGUAAGAUGUUGACUCGGUACACCCAGCGCCACUAACCCCACUGUCAUACACUCUAGCUACAAUAAUACUCCCUCCUUCCCAAAAUACGUGACUCAAAAAUGAUCUUACUUUGUACUAAGUUAGUAUAAUAAUGAGUAAUUUUUGAGUCACUUAUUUUGGGACAGAGAGAGUACUAGGUGACCAAAGUAUUUCAUUGUCUUUAAUUCGAAUUAAUAAUAAAUUUAGAAAGUAAUUAAAUCUUUGAAAAUUCAGAUAAAAUAAUCCGUAACUCGGAUAAAAAUAUUUUAUAUAUGAAAAUUGCUCACAAAAAUAUGAAGAAUCUGAAUACACUGUCAGUUCAUCUCUUACAUGCUCCUAGCACGAUGAACAGGAACAUUUGGCAUUAGGAUCAUCGGUCCAGAAAAUGCCACACACUAGGAAAACUUUGCCUUUGCCGCAUGAAUUCCUCCUCUGUCUGCAAUGUGUAGUACCAUGUUAGGUCAACCCUCGCACAUUAUCUUACCAUGUCACGCAUCCCAAUGCAUUUGUUUGAUAUAUAGUUACUGUGUUUUGCUCGUCUUCUCUCUUGUAGACCUCGAGACUGACACCACUGCCGUCUAGUACGACUACAGAGUCGACGACCCCUCCUUCUCAACCGAGCAACAAGGUGACCAUUCCCCCUCCUUGAUCAUUCUGAUAUCGCCUACUCUUUUCUCUCUACUGCUUGCACUAGAGUAGUGUAGUUGUUACUGCUUACCGAUUUUAUCCUAUAUUGCUGCAUAGCCUCUUCUUGCUACUGUUGUUGAUACUCCUACCUGUUAUCCUCAAUGCCUACUAUAGGUUUGCUAGUAUUCCAUCAGUGUCCCUACAUUCUUUUGUGUAUGGUAUGCUAUACUAUCGGCCAUGAUCCCCUAAGGCCAUGUUCGGUUAAUCCCCUCACCACAUGGAUUGAAGGAGAUUGAGGAGGUUUGAGGGGGAUUUUGACUUGUAAGGGAUUUAAUCCCUUUAAAUCCCUAUCAAACCUCUUCAAACCUUGCCUAACCGAACAAGCCCUAAAGGAGGUGAUCGCGUACUUGAUGUGACUAAAGUCGGGUCGGCUCGUAGAGUACCCGCGAGUGAUUCACGGAUUGUGGGCUGAAAGGACAUUUCCCCGACGGACUCUCUGUGUGGAUCUUCUAUAGCGGAGUGACAGGGCAGGUUGAGACCGCCUAGGAGAGAGGUGUGACUGGUCUUUGGGUCGUUGUCCAUGGUUAUUUCAUAAUAACAUGCUUAACGAGUUUGCGUAUUUGAUCUGAGUUGGUCGAUUGACCUAUAUGCACUAACGUUCAUGCAAGAAUAGUUAUGGGUACUCGGCGUUGUUCUAUUAGCCAAAGCUCUUCGGACGCCAGCAUUGGAGCGGCGUGCCCCCGUGUUGUCUGCAUAAGCACCUUCCUUGUAAAGGAGGUCGCCAGGACUGAUCACGGUGGCCCACGCAACGUGCAGGAGUGCAAAGGGCUUGCCUCUCUCUUGAGUCUAGGUGGGGUGACGACGUGUUGAUAUCCCGAGGCCGAUCAUGACCCAAGAAAGUGUGUCCGACCAGAGGUUAUCAAGCUUGUUGGGAAAUGGGGUGCACCCCUGCAGGGAUAAAUUAAUUAUUCGAAUAGCCGUGUCCACAGUAACAGGAUUACUUGGAGUUGUAUUCCGAUCUCUUACAACAGAAACCGGAUACUUAAUAAAAUACACCUAGAUAAGUGACAAAUACAACACGGCGACCGCUCUCUCUGAGGGAGACGAGGAGAGGAUCUCCGGGUUAGGAUUAAUGCUCUACGUUGAUACUUGUUACUAUAAAAUAUGUCUUCUUCUCAUGCUGCAAGAUGACGACUGUCAUAAGCGUAGUCUUCGACGGGACUUGCUGCCCCCCUUAUGUUGGCAUUAUGUAGUUUAGUCCACAUAUACUACCCCUUUCAUUUGAUACCAAUGCAUAUAUAGUUUAUACCUGAUGUAAGUCUCGCGAGUACUUUGGAUGAGUACUCACGGUCGCUUUACUACCUUUUUCCCCCAUGAUCUUUUACUCGAUUGUCGCAAUUAGAUGGAGGAUCCCAGGAGCGAGAUGCUAUCACCAGCGACUGCCACUACCCUGACAGAGCCUACUAUCACGUGGAGGCUGCUAACGACCAGGAGUAGUUAGGAGGCUCCGAAGCAGGAGGCCUUUCCUUUUCGACCGAUAUAUCCUUUGUGCUAGCCUUAUUUAGGAAAAACUAGUUUACUUAAUGUAUGUACUUAGAUAUUGUUGCUUCCACUGACUAAUGUAUUCAAUCCCUCAUGGCCUGGCUUGUAACAUAUACCUUUAUGUUUGAAUUUGUGUCUAGAGUUAUGUUGUGAUAUUGAUGAAUGAUUCCUUGAGCUUGAACGUACAUGUUUGUGUGUAUGAUUUGUGUACGAUCAAAUCGAGGGUGUCACACCACUAAUGCCCGAGGGAGAUGAUGUUAAGCUAGGUAACCACUUGAGAAAGAAGUGGUGUACCGGAGCAAGUUAUGUGUGUAUUUUUUAAAACGUAUUAGAUUUAAGAUGUGCUGACCAUCCCAAGCUUACAUGUGCAACCACGAUACCCCUUAUGGGACGUGGCCUUGUUGAUUACCUUGGUCGAUGGUUGCACAAAGCCCGCAUUACUUGUGGCGAGAGAGCCAGAGUUACUCUCUCGAUACUGUGUCGUGCCUAGUAGGAGAGCCAGAGGUAAGCACGAUCUUGAGCGAG